rnacentral:rRNA from 1 species
GAUGAACGCUGGCGGCGUGCCUAAUACAUGCAAGUCGAGCGAACAGAUAAGGAGCUUGCUCCUUUGAAGUUAGCGGCGGACGGGUGAGUAACACGUGGGUAACCUACCUAUAAGACUGGGAUAACUUCGGGAAACCGGAGCUAAUACCGGAUAACAUUUAGAACCGCAUGGUUCUAAAGUGAAAGAUGGUUUUGCUAUCACUUAUAGAUGGACCCGCGCCGUAUUAGCUAGUUGGUAAGGUAACGGCUUACCAAGGCGACGAUACGUAGCCGACCUGAGAGGGUGAUCGGCCACACUGGAACUGAGACACGGUCCAGACUCCUACGGGAGGCAGCAGUAGGGAAUCUUCCGCAAUGGGCGAAAGCCUGACGGAGCAACGCCGCGUGAGUGAUGAAGGGUUUCGGCUCGUAAAACUCUGUUAUUAGGAAAGAACAAAUGUGUAAGUAACUGUGCACAUCUUGACGGUACCUAAUCAGAAAGCCACGGCUAACUACGUG